AUCGUCACCCCCUCCCACCCUUCCUGAAUCACACAAACCGUCGCACCCCAUGGACGCGCCGCCAUCAGUCCAUCAUGUUAGAAUCCCCCUUUCCUGGGCUCAAAGCCAGCCGUGCAUCUCUCUAUCCUCCACCUCCUCCACCUCCUCCACCUCCUCCACCUCCUCCACCCAGACUCAAAAAUGCUUUGCUAAAGCUGGUAAAAUGGAACCAAAUCAACUGUUCAAUGGAUUUGGUCCCCUUCAACCAGCUGUAGCUGCGCAUUGAUCACCCCAGAUGUACCAUCGGGUCGGAACCGGCCGACACAGCGAGAACUCACUGGCCCGCAGAAACAGUUGAGCUGAUCAGACGCGCUGGUCCACUGCACA